UACGGAGGGUGCAAGCGUUGCUCGGAAUUAUUGGGCGUAAAGCGCGUGUAGGCGGCUAUUUAAGUCUGGUGUGAAAGCCCGGGGCCUAACCCCGGAAGUGCACUGGAUACUGGAUGGCUAGAGGACGGGAGAGGAGAGUGGAAUUCCUGGUGUAGGGGUGAAAUCCGUAGAUAUCAGGAGGAACAUCGGAAGCGAAGGCGGCUCUCUGGCCCGUAUCUGACGCUCAGACGCGAAAGCGUGGGUAGCAAACAGG
rnacentral:rRNA from 1 species